rnacentral:tRNA from 1 species
UGUAUACUGGUGUAAAGGGCACACAAAGUUUUGAUCUUUGGGGAAAUUGGUGGGAUUCCAUUGUAUAUAA